UAGCAACUCCAUCCCUAAAAAAGGAAAACUUAAAACUAAAUUUAUAUAUAAAGUUAAAACACGUUGUGGUAUCUUUUUCACGUUGGACUAUGUGAACCAAGUGAAAACUACGUAAAAUACUCUUUGACUGCUUUUGGCAUACAAAUUCUUUGAUUUUUAUGAAAAGUUUCUCUAAAAACAGGAAAAAUCGUGCAGAAAGUAUAGACACACCUUAGACUGCAAAGUAAUACUGGCCCAAUUUGAGUUAAGCCCAGUUUUGACAGAUUAACCACGAGAUAAAGAAAAAACCAGGAGAAUGUUGCAACUAAAGAAGUAGAAUUCCCCGAGAAGGAAGCCACCAUAUCUAUUCUCUAACGAAAAAUCAUCAGCCACAAAGAGAUACAAAUUCAGGUUGGAAUUAUACUUGAUGACAAGAUGUUGUUCCUAGCAAUCAAAUCGCUAUAUUUUUAACCCAACUGUAGGAAGGAGAAGGGCCGAUUACAGCUAAGGGAUAGAUAUUACAGACUCAAAAGCAUCGUGAUAAAAGCGGUCUGACAUGCUUUAUUCGUUGAGAAGGAUAUACAAACAUGUGGCUUGGAAGUUAAGGGAUCACUACAUCAAUUGAAGCAUAUGAUAGCAAUAGCACACGCACGUGUUAAGAAUGUAAACAACACCGAUGUACAUAAUAACGACGGCAUCAGAUUUUCCAUGCCGUCAUAUAGAUUUUAAGUAUUUUUAUAUGUAUAAGUUAUUAUUAAGUUAGAAACAUAAGAAUAGAGAAAAAAGAUUCAGUCAUUGUUUUGACAUGAACGAAGAGUGUUUGUUUUAAUCUGGCGCAGUCGCAAAAAGAAGAACCGAAAACGAAACAACGAAAAAAGAAAAUUGUUUGAAUACAGUGGAAACGAAGCGGUUUAAGUAAGAUUUACACAUCGUGAAGAAACGAAGCUUAAGAAAAUUUGUUUUGUGUUGGAAUUACGUCCCUAUCCCUACUAUUGAAUUAAACAAUUUAAAGAUGUAAGAAAAAAAAGAAAAUAUAAAGUAUUUUUUUUUUGCAAUUAGCGAUUUAGCAGACUAAAAAUCAGUCAAUGCAAAUAAAUAGAAAAAAGUGAAAUAAAUUUAAUAAACAAGAAAACAGUUCAUAAAAAAAACAAUGGUUCAAAAUCAAGAACAACUACAACAAUGUUUAGUUAUGUUGACACAAUUAGUUGUACAGAAUUCAAGAUCGUCAACCAGAAUCCAAAAAGAGUUGGAAUUAAUUCUAGCUUUCAAAGGAGAACCAGGAGAAUUACUGUCAUUCAUUGACAUCGUCAACAAAAAACUACAAGACUUGAAUGGCGAAGAAGAGAAGAAGACAGCUUUGGAAUAAUAUACCACUACAAAAUUUCUGGAGCAGCAAAGAACCUUCUAAGAAUCAACCCACCAGAGACCUGGAAAUAAAGUUGUAUGAUAUUGAUUUCUACAGCUGAAAUUAGUAAAAGUUGGUAAACUUAAGUAUUCAAAUCGAACAUUAAUAAUUGCAAUCAAGAUUCCAAGAAAUUAUGUAAAAGUAGAUCUUAAGCUUAUAUUUCCCAUAGCUGAUUCACACAACUAUGAAAUUGAUGAGUCAGAUGCACAUUUUGUUACAAUUGAAAAAAAAAUCUAGCAUAUGAAGAAAAUGAAAUGUAUAAAGAUAUAAAAACAAGUACACAUUGUAUAUUUACAAAUGAUUGUAAACUUAGAUUUAAUAAUAGAACAAUGAUAAAAUCAAUUGACGAAGAAGCAAUAAUAGUCAAAAAUGCUGUACAAGAAAAUCUGAUUCAAAAUUGCGAUGACAGAGUAAUAAAACUGAAUAAGAAUAAUAUAAGUUUUUAUAACUGUAGUAUAGAAAUUGAAAAAGAAAAAUUUUACAAUAAAAUUACUAAAAUAUAAGCUAAAUAUUUCUACCCUAGUAAUGAUGUAAAUAGAACCAUUCCAAAACUUGUAAAUUUCGAUAAUAUAAUGAUAGAACAUUUUGAAAACAUAAAUGAAAUAAAAAAAUUAAAACUCCGGCGAAAUAUUUCCUAUGCUUAAUCCGGCAAUAAUAAUCAUAGUUGUAUUAUCUGUAAUAAAAAUAUUUAUAUACUUCAGAAGAAACAAAGUGAAUGUAAAAAUUGUAAAUGAAAAAAUUGAGGAGAAUUCAAAAUCUGGCGGUGAAGGUGUUAUGAAUGUUAACAACACCGAUGUACAUAAUAACGACGGCAUCAGAUUCUCCAUGCCGUCAUCUAGAUUUUAAGUAUUUUUAUAUGUGUAAGUUAGAAACAUAAGAAUAGAGAAUAAAGAUUCAGUCAUUGUUUUGACAUGAA